AUGGCCCCGGAAGGCAGUGACACCAUGUUCCCUUCCUAAGAACCGUUCAGCUCCUGGGGAAGGAUGAGGGGCUGGCCACCCAGGCACGGCGACUACAGGGCACUCCUCGCCACCUCCUCAGGUUUUGAAGGGUGAAUAAACAUACAAGCCAACAUCCAGCAUGAGGAAGGAUCUGGAAGACCCAUCAUCUGUCAGCCUGCUCAGUUCUCACCCCAGGCCACAGGAGGGAGCACCCAACCCUGCCUGGCCCUUCAUGGUACCUUGGAAUCCAGCACUACACCUAUGUACUGAGCAGAACCAAUCACAAUCCUUUCCCAAGACUGAUGUCAGACUCAGGGGACACACCUCCUUUGCAUGGCCAGGGUUUCUGAGCUGGGAUGUCACUGGUCUGAUGCCAAGAAAGGUCACUUUCCCAACUCCAUGGGGUGGGGUGGGGUCCCGUCAAGUGGGUGACAACAUGGCUGGCACAGCCAGGGAGGCCAAGCGACUUCCUUGAGUCCCUGGUCUCUGCCUGAAGCCAGGACCAACCCCUUGGCUAGUUCCAGCUACACGGGACAAUGAUGUCAAUCUAUUUUCUGCUAGUUGAACUGGUUUCCUGGCACUUGCAGUGGGGAGUCCUUUGUCCUGCCCCAGUAUGAGGAUGGAGGCAGGAGGGGUGGAGGCUACAGAGGAAGUGGGGUGGGCUUGGAGCCUUCUCUUGGUGCCAGCUGCUGUGAAAGCUCAGAACCUCUGCUCAACAGAGAAAGCAACUGGAGAAAGAUGGGUACAACCAGCCAGGGUCCCCAUGGGAAUGUCUAUGAUAGUCCUGGUGCCAAGGGGAAGUCCAGGACAGAGGUGGGACUCACUAGCAGGGAUGCCUGGAGGAAAUGACCUGGGAAAGGUGCUGUGGAAGACCUGCCUUCUUCUUCCUCUUGUUCUUGGGGAGAUGCCAAGGAAACUCUGGGUGUUAAUCUUUUUUUUUAAUGUUUAUUUUUGAUAAAAAGAAAGUAUGAGCAGGGGAGGGCAGAGGGGGGCAGAGGAUCCGAAGUGGGCUCCGCACUGACAGCAGUGAGCCCAAUGUGGGGCUCAAACCCACAAACUGCAAGAUCAUGACUUGAGCCAAAGUCAAAUGCUCAACCAACUGAGCCCACCCAGGUGCCUCUGGGUGCUUAUCUUGAUAAGAAAAAAAACAGAUCCUGCAGCUCCAAGGGGAGAAAAGGCCAUCAAAGCUUGCUCUGUCCAAAGGCCUACUGGUGGACAGUAGGGUGGGCACCCAUUCCAUGGGUGAUGGGAGUGUGGCCAGCUGGGGCCAGGACACCUUGUCCACAGAACAAGCAUGUGAGGAAGAGAAGCGGAACAGUAUGGCAGUAAACACAAAUGUUGGGCACCCUCCCCUAGUCAAGAAGGCAGAGCUUAACAGCCAAAAGGUGGGAACCCAAAUGUCUGUCAGCAGAUAACAAAUUUUUAAAAAGUGGUGUGUCCAUACAACAGAAUGUCAUUCAGCCACAAAAUGGAAUGAAGUACUAAUACAUGCCACCACCUGGAUGUACCCUGAAAACAUCAAGCUGAGUCAAACAAGCUAGAGGCCAAAAGUCACUUAUUACAGAAUUCUUUGUGAUAUGUCCAGAAUAGGGAAAUCCAGAGAUAGAAUGUAGAUUGGCGGCUGCCAGGGGCUGGUAGGAAGAAGAAUGAGUGACUAUUGAUGGGUAUGGGUUUCCUUUUGGGGUGACGAAAAUGUUCUAGAACUAUACAGGUGGUGGUUGCACAACACUAUGAAUGUGCUAAAUGCCACCGAGGUAUUCACUCUAAAAUGGUCUGUUACGUACUAUGUGACUUUCACCUCAAUUAAAAAAAUUUGGGGGAGGGGCACCUGGGUGUCUCAGUUACUUAGGUGUCUGACUCUUGGUUUUGGCUCAGGUCAUGAUCUCAUGGUCUUGAGAUUGAGCCCUGAGUCAGGCUCUGCGCUGACAGUGGGGAGGUUGCUUGGGAUUCUCUCUCUCCCUCUCUGCCCCUCCACUGCAUGUGUGCGUGCACUCUCUCUCUCUCCCAAAAUAAAUAAACAUUAUUAUUAUUUUUUUUAAGGCAGAGCUUAAAAGUUCUGGCAACUCCAGAAAAACCAAGGGGCUGGAAAGCAGUGAGUCAGCGGCAAGGGAGCAGGAGAGAGUCAGAGGCCUCCCACGGCCCCUCCUGUUACAGCCUGGUUAGCACUUGUCCCAGAGCUCUUGUUCGUUGACUUAGAGAAGGCUCACCUCAGCUUAAAAGGCCGGGGCAUGCCUGCUCAGGACAGGGCCUGACAGCUGCCCCAGGGAGAGGAUCCCAGUUUUGGGGAAGAACAAGUCUAGGGUGAGGCACCGGAGGUCAGAGCAAGCAGAAGAGCUGAUACGGCCAGGAGGUCUCAAAGGCACACCUCCCAAGCAAGGGUCUACCCAAGGCUGGUGAUCAGGGAGGGAGGGGACACACUAAGAUUUUGUUGGGGAAAAUGUACUUGUGCAGCCAGAUGACAGCGAGACCUGUAGGAAGUCUGGGGAAGCACAGGUGAGGACAACUGUGGGCUGAAUCAGGGCCCUGGCAAGUGGGGAGGGCCAGGCUGUGGAGGCCACUGGAGCUGGGAAGCCAGGGGUGGGGGGGGAAGGGGGUCGAUUCCUCUGUGUCCUGGUGGAGGGCCCACGUUGAGGGGCAGAAAGACAGGCCAAGCUUGACUUCAGGCUGCAGACAGAAGAGGAGGGACAGAGGAGGAAUGGGCAGAGAGGUAAGAGGGAGACCAGGGAGGCUGAGGCAGCUGGGGCAGAGGGUGAAGGUAGAAGGGUAGGAUCGGGGGGCACCCAGCACAGCCCAUCAGUCCCCUGGUGACUGCAGGAAGCUGGGCCUCCUGAGAUUAGGGAGAGGCAGGGAGGCCUGAGAAGAUGUGGGUCCGGGGAAGGAAAGUGGACAGGAAGGCACACACGGACACACACAUGAACAUGAAAACACAAGAUACAGAUAUGCGCACGGGCACACGCAGACAUAAAAAGCUGCCAUUCCACAGACAAAAGCAGACAUAUAGAAACCAGUACCACAAGUGCUCAGACAUGCACAUACAGUCACAGAUGCACACUCCAGCCACGCCUACGUGGGGCACACGCAGAAAUGGAGCCAGGCACGCAGCUGAUGUUCAUAUGUAAUUGGAUGUACGUUUGGCCAUAGACAGAGGCACAGGUACACACUGGAAUACACUGACAUGGACACAAGUGUGGACAGACAGACACACUUUCUGGCAAAAACAGGCUUAUCUGUAGAGAUGCACACAGAGGUCUGCACUGACCGCAAGUACAGCCCUGUACAUGCACACCCACACAGAAGACACCCAUGCAGCACACACAUCUACAUGGCAUCAUGACCAACCAUUCUACACAAAAGAAGCUCUGUGCACCCCUAUUCGAGGCACCCGUGGCUCUAGAACCCCGACACCAGAGCCCGCCUGGGAAAGUGAGACACAAACCGCGGCCAUUGCGCAACACACCUACUGGGCCCAGCUCAAGGUCAGGGAGGAGCCAGGACCAGUCCUCUCGUGCCUGCCCACGCACUCACUGCCAUCGGCGGCAGACACCAGCCACCGACAACGGCCAGCCACCGACGUAGACAGCUGGGAUUGCAAGGGAUCUUGCAAAAUCAUCCCCAUCCCUCAGGGUUCAGCUAAAGUGUCCCUUCCCCCACGGAACCUCUCCAGGCUGUGGCCACUGUUAGCCUUUUUGAAUUCUGGUUUUUGCCGUGCCCAGCUCUGUGACCUUGGGCAAGUCACUCCACCUCUCGGUGCUUUGUUUCCCCCUACGUAGAGCGGAAGGUAAUGAGAACGUGUGUUGAGUACAUGAGCACAUCCCUUCCCACCUCUUGCACAGAUGGGAGAAGCAGCUUCCCAGUACUCACAGUCAGCUGGCUGUAGAGGGGGCUGCCCUCCUGCCUCCUGCUUGGUUCCUUCCCACCAGAUGGGAUCUUGGGGCCAGGUGGAACAUCGAGAGGGUGUGGGUGUAUUCUCCUUUCUACACAAAACCAAGAAGCCAGCUUUGGAGCAACUUGGCAAUAAGCACGGGACCAUACAGCCCUGCCUGGCAGGGGUAGGGACGACUUUAAACCCUGAGUUUCUGCUCAAAUAACUUCAAAGAGGACUUACAAGAUCAUUUCCUCUGCAUGGGCAUGCAAAAUCAGAAAGGGUGGAAAUGAGCCACUGACUCUCCCCGCCUGAGGUUUCCUCAUCUCCUGUCCCCACCCACCCAAGAGCCCCCCACCUAGGUUCACAUCCUCCCAGCAGAUGUCAGACACUGGGCUGGCAGUCAGAGGGCUAAGAGCACCUUCCUACUCCCCAGGGGACUGUGGGUACGGUUUCCCCAGACACAGGCUACCAUCUUUAUGAGGAUGAGCACUCAGGCUCCGCAGUCUGGGGCCUUGACCCUUGAACUCAGGAAUGGUUGUGCUGAUGUGGACAGGUGGACUGGGGCUCCCAGGGUUGGAAGGACAAAGAUGUGGACUGUGUGGCAGUGAGCACACCCCAGUUCUGAAUGACCCAAGCUGUGCUCAACUCCAGGCCUGGGUUGACCAUACUGACUUCCUUUGUUCUAGAACUCUUCAGGGGCCUGGGUGGGACCAAGAGGUGAUUCUGGGAGCCCCCCACCUCAUCUUGGGACAGCUUAAGGCCUGUCUAUCUAAUGGUACCCAGAGCAUCAGCCACAUGUGAGGUCCAGAGUCAUGUUCCCUCUCAGCUGAGUGUGCCCCAGUCACCUCCCAAGCCCUGUGCCCUGACCCCAGGUGGGUCCUGGUCUUCCUGGCAAUCUCAGAGCAGAUCUCCCCAUUUGUAACCUGCUGAAGGCCAAGCUGACUCAGUGAGCCCCAAGGACUCUAAUGCCCUGGGAGCUAAGCCCCUCCACACAGACUCACACAUAUGUGGCAAAGAGACACACGUGAGCUCUAGGCCUGGGUCCAAGUCAGACUAGCCCACUGGGGCAUGCCGGUGGCCCCCCUACCUGUGGGCAGCAUGCCAAGAACUAACCAAUGCCAGGUUAAGACCUGGUCUGAGGGACUGGGCAAACCCUGAUGCCACCUGGAAAGCCAGGAUGACAGAAACAUCCAAAUCAGCCCAUGACUCACAGGGACUCAUAAGCAGACAGAUGGACAGAGUCCCCAGAGCUGAACAUGGGGCCCAGGAGCUCUCUACCUGCAGGUCAGGAGCCCUAAGGAUUCUGGUGUUAAAGCCCCCACUCAGCCCAAGACAUCCCUUGAACCAGGGCCCAGGGUGGGCCCUCCAGAGAGAAGCCAGAACUCCCCAAUUUCCCCCCAAGUCAAACUACAAAGCAAUGCCACCUUCCCAGGGCCAAGAAGAAUAGGGAUCCUGAAGGAGCUGCCUCCUAGAUCUUGAUACACAUGAGGAAACAGAGGCUGAGGGGAAGGAGAUGGUCUAGGGUCCCCGACCGCUCACUCACCAGGUUGGGCUGUGCUCUCUGCUCCUUGAUCUGUAGCCCCUGGGUCCCAGGGGUAGGGUGGGCACACUGCCAGAGGCCUGGCCCCCGUUCUGGCUUUUCUGGGGAGCCACUGCAACCUCUGAAUACGCCGAAGUCACACCCUUCUUCCUUUCCUGAAUGUGGGCGGGUCUGGGCUGAGGGUACCUGAUAACCUCCCCAGCACAUCUGUAGGGCCCCAUCUGGCCACAGUGGAAACCCAGUCUUGUGGAGCAGGGAGGCAGCCCCUCUGUGACAGGAAACCCGGGCCCACAUGUGCUGAGCCUCUGGCCCAGGAAGGCAGCCUUUGAAGGCACACUGGGUUCCAGGUGGCCUCCAGGCCCCAGUCCUCUCCUUCUGGCCAGGGGAAGCCCAGUGUGUGGACUCCCAGGUCCCCACUCUGGCUGGCCCCCCUCCUACCACUACUCCAGGAGAGCCCUGGUGACAAGAACUAACUGAUUUUUUGGUCAACAGGGACUCCUGUGUGGGACCUCCAGGACUCAGGCAUGGUCUAAAAGCAAGCAGGCAGCAGUCUAGAAGAAAGGUGCUUUUGGGCCCACCUUGGGGUGGCAGGGAAGGCUGGAGGACUUCCAGGUGGGAUGGUCUGGGAAUCUCUAACCAUGUUCAGAACCUUCUGGACUAUUGCAAAACAGCAAGAAAGGAAGAAAGAGCGGGGCGCCUGGGUGGCUCAGUUGGUUAAGCAUCCGACUUCAGCUCAGGUCAUGAUCUCACACUCUGUGAGUUCGAGCCCCAUGUCGGACUCUGUGCUGACAGCUCAGAGCCUGGAGCCUGCUUCAGACUCUGUGUCUCCCCCUCUCUCUGCCCCUCCCCUGCUCAUGCUCUGUCUC